CCCCCCUGGACCUAGAAGGGUCACGGCAAAAGAGAGAAAGGGUUCUGUAUUCAAUAGAUUCAUUAUCAAAUAAAAGGGCCAAACCAAAGUACCAUAUCAAAUAAAAUUAUUAUAAAAUUCAUGAUGGUGGUAUUGAACCUCGUCAGUUUUGUGAUAAAUCAAUUUCAAGUUACUGAACCCAACACGCAAGUUUCAUGUUUCUGGUUUGUCUACAGUUUUAGUGAAAUCUUCUCUGCUA
rnacentral:lncRNA from 1 species